GUCACUAUUUAUAGGGGGCAAUCAAUAAUACCAUGCAAUGAAAUUACCACUCGGGCUUAAAAUCACACCUUUCCUCUCUAACACAUCAGUAUCCUGGGUCUCCUUUCAUUUGGGAGUCGCCUGGUAUCACUAGGGAGACCAGAAUGAGUCACUGAGUACAGAGAGGUCACAGGGCUUGCCAGACAAUAAGCUGUUGAAGGGCAGCAGCUAAAAUUCAGGUGGCCAGGUGAUGGUGAAAAAACAACCAUGAGUCAUUUAAAAUCAAAUGCCAAUUUGAUGGGCUCAAAAUAUUUCGUGGGAAUGGGUCGAUUCCAUUGAAACAUUGGAUGGACAUCGGGCAGGCAGGCUGCUUAGUUUCCUGUGAGCUCUCCCCAACUCUUCCACGCUUUCCAGCUCUGAUACAGCCUGCCUGAACUGUGAAAUUUUUCAUGUAAGGGAAAUUCCAGUUCCCACACAGCUCUACACUUCACCCACCAUUACAUCAUAGCCACUCCUGGGAUGGAACACAUCAACGAUUUAACAGUGCACUACAACGCUACACAAAACAUCU